ACCCUGGUAGUCCAGUGGUUAAGACUCUGUGGUUCCAAUGCAGAGGACACAGGUUUGAUCCCUGGUCAGGGAA
rnacentral:tRNA from 1 species